AUUGAACGCUGGCGGCAUGCUUUACACAUGCAAGUCGAACGGUAACAGGCCGCAAGGUGCUGACGAGUGGCGAACGGGUGAGUAAUGCAUCGGAACGUGCCCAGUCGUGGGGGAUAACUACUCGAAAGAGUAGCUAAUACCGCAUACGAUCUAUGGAUGAAAGCGGGGGACCGUAAGGCCUCGCGCGAUUGGAGCGGCCGAUGUCAGAUUAGGUAGUUGGUGGGGUAAAGGCUCACCAAGCCAACGAUCUGUGGCUGGUCUGAGAGGACAACCAGCCACACUGGGACUGAGACACGGCCCAGACUCCUACGGGAGGCAGCAGUGGGGAAUUUUGGACAAUGGGCGCAAGCCUGAUCCAGCAAUGCCGCGUGCAGGAAGAAGGCCUUCGGGUUGUAAACUGCUUUUGUACGGAACGAAACGGCUCUGGUUAAUACCCGGGGCUAAUGACGGUACCGUAAGAAUAAGCACCGGCUAACUACGUG
rnacentral:rRNA from 1 species